rnacentral:rRNA from 1 species
GACGAACGCUGGCGGCGUGCUUAACACAUGCAAGUCGAACGGAAAGGCCCUGCUUUUGUGGGGUGCUCGAGUGGCGAACGGGUGAGUAACACGUGAGUAACCUGCCCUUGACUUUGGGAUAACUUCAGGAAACUGGGGCUAAUACCGGAUAGGAGCUCCUGCUGCAUGGUGGGGGUUGGAAAGUUUCGGCGGUUGGGGAUGGACUCGCGGCUUAUCAGCUUGUUGGUGGGGUAGUGGCUUACCAAGGCUUUGACGGGUAGCCGGCCUGAGAGGGUGACCGGCCACAUUGGGACUGAGAUACGGCCCAGACUCCUACGGGAGGCAGCAGUGGGGAAUAUUGCACAAUGGGCGGAAGCCUGAUGCAGCAACGCCGCGUGCGGGAUGACGGCCUUCGGGUUGUAAACCGCUUUCGCCUGUGACGAAGCGUGAGUGACGGUAAUGGGUAAAGAAGCACCGGCUAACUACGUGCCAGCAGCCGCGGUGAUACGUAGGGUGCGAGCGUUGUCCGGAUUUAUUGGGCGUAAAGGGCUCGUAGGUGGUUGAUCGCGUCGGAAGUGUAAUCUUGGGGCUUAACCCUGAGCGUGCUUUCGAUACGGGUUGACUUGAGGAAGGUAGGGGAGAAUGGAAUUCCUGGUGGAGCGGUGGAAUGCGCAGAUAUCAGGAGGAACACCAGUGGCGAAGGCGGUUCUCUGGGCCUUUCCUGACGCUGAGGAGCGAAAGCGUGGGGAGCGAACAGGCUUAGAUACCCUGGUAGUCCACGCUGUAAACGGUGGGUACUAGGUGUGGGGUCCAUUCCACGGGUUCCGUGCCGUAGCUAACGCUUUAAGUACCCCGCCUGGGGAGUACGGCCGCCAAGGCUAAAACUCAAAGGAAUUGACGGGGCCCCGCACAAGCGGCGGAGCAUGCGGAUUAAUUCGAUGCAACGCGUAGAACCUUACCUGGGUUUGACAUGGAUCGGGAGUGCUCAGAGAUGGGUGUGCCUCUUUUGGGGUCGGUUCACAGGUGGUGCAUGGCUGUCGUCAGCUCGUGUCGUGAGAUGUUGGGUUAAGUCCCGCAACGAGCGCAACCCUUGUUCACUGUUGCCAGCACGUUAUGGUGGGGACUCAGUGGAGACCGCCGGGGUCAACUCGGAGGAAGGUGGGGAUGACGUCAAGUCAUCAUGCCCCUUAUGUCCAGGGCUUCACGCAUGCUACAAUGGCUGGUACAGAGAGUGGCGAGCCUGUGAGGGUGAGCGAAUCUCGGAAAGCCGGUCUCAGUUCGGAUUGGGGUCUGCAACUCGACCUCAUGAAGUCGGAGUCGCUAGUAAUCGCAGAUCAGCAACGCUGCGGUGAAUACGUUCCCGGG